ACGAGUUUUUUCGGUUCGAUCCGAAAGCUCCCCGCCCUUGUGUAUCUUCGCUGAAAAGCAGCUUCGGCGGGCCGUCAGACCCUAGCGAUAGGGUCUUGACAAUCGGCUCUGUGCGGAUUUGUGUUCGCCGAAGAACCAACACUUUUUACAAUUUGAAGUCUGAUAACCAAAGAAAAUAAAUCA
rnacentral:misc_RNA from 1 species